rnacentral:rRNA from 1 species
UGUGUAGGCGGUUCUUUAAGUUUGGUGUGAAAUCUCCCGGCUUAACCGGGAGGGUGCGCCGAAUACUGAGGGACUCGAGUGCGGGAGAGGAAAGUGGAAUUCCUGGUGUAGCGGUGAAAUGCGUAGAUAUCAGGAGGAACACCGGUGGUGUAGACGGCUUUCUGGACCGUAACUGACGCUGAGACACGAAAGCGUGGGUAGCAAACAGGAUUAGAUACCCUGGUAGUCCACGCCCUAAACGAUGCAUAUUUGGUGUGGGCAGUUCAUUCUGUCCGUGCCGGAGCUAACGCGUUAAAUAUGCCGCCUGGGGAGUACAGUCGCAAGGCUGAA